rnacentral:lncRNA from 1 species
GCGGCAUUGGCAGUAUCCUGCUCAGUGUGUUUGUGCUCGUAGAUCCAGGUCCUUUACUUGGUAGAGUCUGAGAGUUAUAAAACUCCUCCGUGUUUUGCUCGAAGUGUACCUGCUCAUAGAGACAAGGCAGAGAUCAAGUGCAUGGGUCCUGUUGAUGGAAAACACCAACAGAACCUAAAGUGUAUUUGUUCUUCUCUAACCCUAAGCAU